rnacentral:rRNA from 1 species
UGCGUAGGGUGCGAGCGUUAAUCGGAAUUACUGGGCGUAAAGCGUGCGCAGGCGGUGAGCUGUGUCCGAUGUGAAAGCCCCGGGCUUAACCUGGGAAUGGCAUUGGAAACUGGCUCGCUGGAGUGUGGCAGAGGGGGGUGGAAUUCCGCGUGUAGCAGUGAAAUGCGUAGAGAUGUGGAGGAACACCGAUGGCGAAGGCAGCCUUCUGGGCCAACACUGACGCUCAUGCACGAAAGCGUGGGGAGCAAACAGG